rnacentral:SRP_RNA from 1 species
GCUGGGCGUGGUGGCUCACGCCUGUAAUCCUAGCACUUUGGGAGGCUGAGGUGGGUGGAUCACCUGAGGUCAGGAGUUCUAGACCAGCCUGGCCAACAUGGCAAAACCCCGUCUCUA